AGAGUUUGAUUAUGGCUCAGGAUAAACGCUGGCGGCGUGCCUAACACAUGCAAGUCGAACGUCCUCUUGUUUUUCGGAAUGAGAGGGAGUGGCGGACGGGUGAGUAACACAUGGGUGACCUGGCCUGAAGUGAGGGAUACCGGCGAGAAAUCGCCGACAAGCCCGCAUAGGUUCUUUUUCGUAGGCGGAAGAGAGCAAAGGACCCCGCGAGGGGGCUGCUUUGGGAUGGGCCUGUGGCCGAUUAGCUAGUUGGUGGGGUAAGAGCCUACCAAGGCGACGAUCGGUAGCUGGUCUGAGAGGACGAUCAGCCACACUGGGAUUGAGAACGGCCCAGACUCCUACGGGGGGCAGCAGUGAGGAAUUUUCCGCAAUGGACGCAAGUCUGACGGAGCAACGCCGCGUGCAGGAGGACGCUUUUCGGAGUGUAAACUGCUUUUCUGUGGGAAGAGCAAGGACGGUACCACAGGAAGAAGCCCCGGCUAACUACGUGCCAGCAGCCGCGGUAAUACGUAGGGGGCGAGCGUUGUCCGGAGUUACUGGGCGUAAAGGGCAUGCAGGCGGUCGGACGCGUUUUGUGUGACAGCGGGUGGCUUAACUACCCGAGUAUGCGAAAGACGGUCUGACUUGAGGGCUCGAGGGGGACACGGAAUUCCGGGUGGAGUGGUGAAAUGCGUNNNGAUCCGGAGGAACACCGAAGGCGNNNGCAGUGUCCUGGCGAGUGACUGACGCUGAGGUGCGAAAGCU
rnacentral:rRNA from 1 species